AGAAAACCGCUGAAGGCAGAGACAGAACAAAAAUACUCUGAAGACAGAGCAAAUUUGUGAUUCAUUUACUUUAUUCGAGCUCAGACAAUGGCAAAGGUUCGCGGCGCGAUUGAGGCCACGGCAGACCAAGAUUCGCCUACCUUGGUUGUGACAACAGUCCCAACAACUUCAUGACUUCGGAAGAAUGCGAAAAAGCCUGUCUAUCGUAACAACAGCAACGGAAAAGGAAGAGGAUUGACCAUUUUACAGAAUGAGAGAAGUGCAGAACUAGGUUGUUACAUGGGAGGCCAAAAUAAUAAAUUUUCUGAGAGGA